AAUAUAAUUUGUUGCUAUUGUAGUCAUCCAAGAAAUAAUUGUUGAGGUAGUCGUUAUGACCAUAUCAGACACAGAUGCAUUGGCUCAAGUACUUCCUAGCAACUUCCUCGCUUCCCAAGAUUUUGGCAAUUCGUGAAACCGUGAUAUUGUGAUUAAAUAA